rnacentral:piRNA from 1 species
UGGGGCCCUGAAUGACCAGGUGGAGC